rnacentral:rRNA from 1 species
AUACGGAGGGUGCAAGCGUUACUCGGAAUCACUGGGCGUAAAGCGCGCGCAGGCGGCUUGAUAAGUUGGAUGUGAAAGCCUACGGCUCAACCGUAGAACUGCAUCCAAAACUGUCAGGCUAGAGUCUGGGAGGGGAAGAUGGAAUUAGUUGUGUAGGGGUAAAAUCCGUAGAGAUAACUAGGAAUACCAAAAGCGAAGGCGAUCUUCUGGAACAGUACUGACGCUGAGGCGCGAAAGCGUGGGGAGCAAACAGGAUUAGAUACCCGUGUAGUCC